GAUGAACGCUGACAGAAUGCUUAACACAUGCAAGUCAACUUGAAUUUGGGUUUAUAACUUAGGUUUGGGUGGCGGACGGGUGAGUAACGCGUAAAGAACUUACCUCACAGCUAGGGACAACAUUUAGAAAUGAAUGCUAAUACCUAAUAUUAUGGUUAUAGGGCAUCCUAUAAUUAUGAAAGCUAAAUGCACUGUGAGAGAGCUUUGCGUCCCAUUAGCUAGUUGGAGAGGUAACAGCUCACCAAGGCGAUGAUGGGUAGCCGGCCUGAGAGGGUGAACGGCCACAAGGGGACUGAGACACGGCCCUUACUCCUACGGGAGGCAGCAGUGGGGAAUAUCGGACAAUGGACCGAGAGUCUGAUCCAGCAAUUCUGUGUGCACGAUGAAGUUUUUCGGAAUGUAAAGUGCUUUCAGUUGGGAAGAAAGAAAUGACGGUACCAACAGAAGAAGUGACGG
rnacentral:rRNA from 1 species